rnacentral:rRNA from 1 species
UACAGAGGUCUCAAGCGUUGUUCGGAUUCAUUGGGCGUAAAGGGCGCGUAGGUGGCGGGGUAAGUCAGGUGUGAAAUCUCGAGGCUCAACCUCGAAACUGCACUUGAUACUGCCUUGCUAGAGUACUGGAGAGGAGAUUGGAAUUUACGGUGUAGCAGUGAAAUGCGUAGAUAUCGUAAGGAAGACCAGUGGCGAAGGCGAAUCUCUGGACAGUUACUGACACUGAGGCACGAAGGCCAGGGGAGCAAACGGG